UACGUAGGGUGCGAGCGUUAAUCGGAAUUACUGGGCGUAAAGCGUGCGCAGGCGGUUUUGUAAGCCAGAUGUGAAAUCCCCCGGCUUAACCUGGGAACUGCGUCUGAUACUGGGAGGCUUGAGUAUGGGAGAGGGAUGUAGAAUUCCAGGUGUAGCGGUGAAAUGCGUAGAUAUCAGGAGGAAUACCGGUGGCGAAAGCGACUCUCUGGACGGCAACUGACGCUGAGGCACGAAAGCGUGGGGAGCAAACAGG
rnacentral:rRNA from 1 species